CGUCUAGGCGGUCAGGUAAGUGGGAUGUGAGAUGCCCCGGCUCACCCGGGGACCGGCAUCUCAUACUGCUUGGCUUGAGUACGGGAGAGGAUGUGGGAAUUCCUGGUGUAGCGGUGAAAUGCGUAGAUAUCAGGAGGAACACCGGUGGCGAAGGCGCACAUCUGGCCCGAUACUGACGCUGAAGCGCGAAGCUAGGGAGCAAACG
rnacentral:rRNA from 1 species